rnacentral:rRNA from 1 species
GACGUAGGGCGCGAGCGUUGUCCGGAUUUAUUGGGCGUAAAGGGCGCGUAGGCGGCUUGGCAAGUGGAUGGUGAAAUCCCUCGGCUUAACCGAGGAACUGCCGUCCAAACUGCUUUGCUUGAGACCGGGAGAGGUGAGUGGAAUUCCCAGUGUAGCGGUGAAAUGCGUAGAUAUUGGGAGGAACACCAGUGGCGAAGGCGGCUCACUGGACCGGUACUGACGCUGAUGCGCGAAAGCGUGGGGAGCAAACGGGG